AGAUGCUACUGGUUAGAUGGCAUUUUGUUAAGCUUCUUGUCAAGAACCUCACCACAGCAGAAGACAUGGAUGCAGGGAGUUCACCAGUCCAGAGACUGAAGCUCUUCUGAGGUUUGGCCUUUAGGAAUCCUUCCACGUCACUGACUUCACCGGGUGCUCCUUUUGUCUCUACAAAAGCAAAAGAGUGAAAGGCAUUCUAUUGUUUGUUGCCAUAAGUAUUUCUUCAGAUAGGAAUAAGAAAACCUAAGCUCUAAAGAACUGGAUCACAAGUGAUGGUGCAGAAAGAAGUGAAAGGAUUCAGCAUUGUGCAUUUUUCUUCCUUUUUUUCUGUCUCCAGAAGAAAAUUACUGUCUGAAUAAAUGGUUCCAGUGCUCUGUCUGACAUCUUGUUAUACUGUUGUAUAAACAUUGAAGAUAGAGGUAUUCUGAAGUAAAACAUUAAUACGGAAUAAGGAUCUUCAUUUUUGAUUCUUCACUUGAUUUAUUUAUUUUUUCCUUUUGACAUCUGCUCAAACUGAUGGUGGAAUCGGUGUUGUCAUCUGAUUGUGGAGCACUCUGUUCAAUGGCAAACAGAUCAGCUGAUGCUGAGGCACAUCUGUGUGAGGAGUCCUGAAGGACAAUGAGACUUGGUUUUGAAGAGAUGAUCUGAGCUGCGUUACUGCUACCUCUUAGGAGUGAAGGGCUCAACUUCUAUGAAGUUUCUCAUGAAACGGAUGCAAUCAAGGAGAACUGAGAUGGACUGAAAUAUGAGAUGGUUCUUGCAUAUUAUGGGUGUAGCAGCCAGGUGGGAAAAUGAGAAGUGUUUAAUGGAACUCUGGCAGAUGCAACCUACUGCAUGUCUACCUCUCACAGGAAAAGGGUUGUGAUGGCCUUAGACAUGGAAGUACAAAGUUUAAACUGUUAUGGCAUAGUACUCAAUUCACUGGUAGCUGCCAUCUAUUCCUAAAGAUCCGAAUGAAGUAUUUCACCUUUGAGCACCUUUAAAUAUCAUUAAACAUCAUUGCUGCC
rnacentral:lncRNA from 1 species